AUUUGACUAUGAAGUGCUCGGGGGCUUGUCGGGGAUAGAUCCCCAGUACCCGCAAGGAAGGAAGAAGACGAACUCCUACUAGGAUUCUUUUGUAAUCCUACUAGGAUUCAUACCAUGUAAUCCUACUAGGACUCCUACCUUGUAACCGACUAGUAAUCCUGCCCUCUGGAGUAUAUAAAGGAGGGCAGGGGUCCUUGAUCAGUAGGUGAAGACCUCAUAGAACUACAAUAGAGGACCAAAUCCUCAGCACCAAACAAUACCAAAGCACAGGGCACAAUAUACAACACCCCAAACAGGACGUUGGGUAUUACACUACUCUGGUGGCCUGAACCUGUAUAAAUCCGUAUCUUGUGUCUUUGCUUUUACCUUCGAGUUGUAGGUCUAACAAUUUCCCACAAGCCAAUCUACUAUCUCGGGAUACCCCUCGGUAGGUUGCCGAGUAUAAAACACCGACACUGUAUUCUACAAGUGUCACUUUGGUUAUGUUGCCUUAUGUUUGUGAACAUUGUACCGAUGAUGUAUUAUGCAAGUGUCACUUUGCCAAUCUCAAUGCAUGAUUUCAUUUUGUUGUUUCCAAGAGUGCCACAUCAACAAAAUAAAAAUGAAACCAUGGAUGAAACUCUGGGUCUAUUUGGUUGUCUUGCCCAAAUUUGCCCACUAGCCUUGCUUGCCAAGAUUUGGCGAGGAAAUCCUUGCUAGGUGGGGAGAGCCAAUUUGGCUCUAUGUGCAUUUAAGGAUUGUUGACAUGGAUCCCCUUCCACCACUGGUACUCACCAUCACCCGCCCCGUGCUGCUCCAUCUUCAUGUAGACAUGGUUAUUUGCACUUAAAACCAAUUUCUGCUCUUCCCCUAUUUAAUCCCCAAUGUGUGGUUGUCAUGCUCCCAUAAAUCUUGUGUAAAUAUAAGCAGAACAAAUAAAUCUUGUGUAAACAGACUAACUAUCUUGCAUAAACUCUUUAUUUCUUCUGUUCUCGUGUCUCUCCUUUCCUCUCCCUCACCCUUUCUCUCUUCCUUGGUUCUCAUGUAGACAUAGUUACUUGCACUUGAAAUUAAGUUAUGCUCUUCCUUCA
rnacentral:lncRNA from 1 species